GAGGCCGAAUGUCGAGUUGAGAUAGAGAUUGGUGAAAAAAUAUCUCAAAUUCUACCCACAAGGAAACCACAGUGAGGUCCAUAGUAAGGAAAAGCCCAGGAAAGAAGCCCACGUGAAGAACAGCCCAUAGGAGGGGCUAGCCUGCAGAUGGGCCAGCCCAGUAGUUGGGUGCGGCCCAGCACGCCGCACGACCUAGCUUGGCACACGGCC
rnacentral:lncRNA from 1 species